GCUCAGAUCGCUCUACUCUGCGAGCUUCCCUCCAACACUCGCCCACUCGGUUUCCUCUCACCCAUGGCGACCGUUUCCACUCGUCCGCCUCCUUCGAGCGCCAUAGCGCCAUUCUCACGAGCUUACCUCGAGUCGAGCUUCGUUCUGGGGCUUUCAAGGACCGUGGAUCGUUCGAGGGCGACGCUUGGAUGGACGAGGCCGAAUAAGACGGCUGCGCAGAACCGCGUCUGUGCCGUCCAGAAGCAGAGUGGCGAUGCUUUCGUCUCGGUUGCGGAUUCUCCGGCUCCUAGAGCAAGUAGUAGGUUGAGACGACACACCAUUUCUGUGUUUGUUGGAGAUGAAAGUGGAAUGAUAAAUAGGAUUGCUGGAGUAUUUGCUAGACGAGGGUACAACAUUGAGUCUCUUGCAGUUGGUUUGAAUAAGGACAAGGCAUUGUUCACCAUAGUUGUCUCAGGAACGGAGAAAGUAUUGAAGCAGGUAGUGGAGCAGCUAAACAAGCUUGUGAAUGUUUUGAAGGUUGAAGAUUUAUCACAAGAGGCCCAAGUUGAACGGGAAUUGAUGCUUAUAAAACUCAAUGUGGAACCGGAUAAACGGCCGGAGGUUAUGGGUCUGGUUGAUGUGUUCAGGGCAAAGGUAGUUGAUAUUUCAGAACACACAGUGACUAUUGAGGUAACAGGAGAUCCUGGUAAAAUUGUUGCGGUGCAGAGAAACCUGAGCAAGUUUGGGAUCAAAGAAAUUGCUAGAACUGGCAAGAUUGCAUUGAGGCGCGAAAAGAUGGGACAAACAGCCCCUUUCUGGAGGUUUUCUGCUGCUUCUUACCCAGACCUUGAUGGUAGCAUACCUGCUAAACCUCUUCGCAGUACUCCAGUUCCAAAAUUCAAUGGAAAUUCACAGCAGUCUGCUGGGGGAGAUGUUUAUCCAGUGGAACCUUACGAAGGUUUCUUGGUGAAUCAAGUUCUUGAUGCGCACUGGGGAGUUCUUGACGAGGAUGAUUCAACUGGUCUCUGUUCACACACUUUAUCCAUUCUUGUAAAUGAUGUUCCUGGAGUGCUUAACGUGGUAACUGGCGUGUUUGCUCGCAGAGGUUACAAUAUUCAGAGCCUUGCUGUUGGUCCUGCUGAAGAGGAAGGUAUUUCUCGUAUCACCACUGUUGUUCCUGGAACUGAUGAGUCUAUUGGGAAGUUAGUACAACAGCUCUACAAGCUUAUUGAUGUUCACGAGGUCCAUGAUAUAACCCAUUUGCCUUUUGCUGAAAGAGAACUUAUGCUUAUAAAGGUUGCUGUAAAUACUGCUGCCAGGAGAGACAUAUUAGAUAUUGCUGAUAUUUUCAGAGCCAAAGCUGUUGAUGUAUCUGAUCAUACGAUUACACUUCAGCUAACUGGAGAUUUGGACAAGAUGGUCGCACUGCAAAGGUUGUUAGAACCUUAUGGGAUCUGUGAGGUGGCACGAACUGGCCGAGUUGCUUUGAUCAGGGAGUCAGGGGUGGAUUCUAAGUAUCUGCGCGGUUAUUCCCUACCACUGUGAUCAGAUUUGGGCUAGCUUUCCUGAAUUUGAAAUAUCAUCGAAUUGGUUGCUUGCAUCAUCUCCCUGCCUUUUAUUUAGAAGCUAAAUAACCAUAAGUGCGCAUGGGAUGCUUUGCUGUGAGUAGACUUUUCAGCUGUUGGAGGUGCAAUCUGAUAGCCAAUCAUUCAUUGUCAGAUGCACAUCAAGUGUGGGAAUAGAAUCGAAUGUGUGUUUCACUGUCGCGUGAGAAGUAACUCUAGCAAAUACUUAGGCUGCGUUUGGUAGUCUGUAAUCUACCUUAUAAUGUAAUCUAGAUUACAUUACAAAA